UAUAACACAGGCAAUAUGUGCAAACCGGCAUUAGCCAACGCCUUCUUUAGUACUAUUGCCUUCUUGCUUGGUGCUUUUACAUCCGUCCUCUCUGGAUUUCUCGGGAUGAAGAUCGCAACGUAUGCCAAUGCUAGAACAACUCUAGAAGCAAGGAGGGGUGUUGGGAAGGCUUUCAUUACUGCCUUUCGCUCAGGUGCUGUGAUGGGGUUCCUUCUUGCUGCCAAUGGCCUAUUGGUGCUGUAUAUCACUAUCAAUUUGUUUAAGUUGUAUUAUGGGGAUGACUGGGAAGGACUAUAUGAGUCAAUUACUGGUUAUGGACUUGGAGGUUCUUCAAUGGCACUCUUUGGGAGAGUUGGGGGAGGUAUAUACACGAAAGCUGCUGAUGUUGGUGCUGAUCUUGUCGGGAAAGUUGAACGAAAUAUCCCUGAAGAUGAUCCACGAAACCCCGCCGUAAUUACCAACUCCUUUAUUACUAUGUUUGUUUGCUAAUUUCUACAUUUUCGCAAUGCAGAGCAUCACUUUUGACAUACUGAGUGUUAUACUUUCUUUGUCAAACAUUGUUAGAAGCGCUUUUAGUUAUAUGAGCGCUUUUAAUUUUGUGUUUCUUUCUCAGGUUAUUGCAGACAAUGUGGGUGACAAUGUAGGAGACAUUGCCGGGAUGGGAUCUGACCUGUUUGGAUCUUAUGCCGAGUCUUCUUGUGCAGCAUUGUUUGUUGCAUCCAUAUCAUCCUUUGGCAUCGGUCAUGACUACACCGCCAUGUCGUAUCCUUUGAUCAUAAGCUCAAUGGGGAUUGUGGUUUGUUUGGUAACAACCCUUUUCGCAACCGAUCUGUUUGAAAUCAAGAAAGUCAGUGAGAUCGAACCCGC
rnacentral:lncRNA from 1 species